rnacentral:lncRNA from 1 species
GGCCAGAAUGCGGACGCUUGCUGAUCUGCAUUUAUUAUUAUGAUUGUUGAGUAAGUAGCUAAGCUUAGAGGAAUCGGAAAAUAGUAAACUGCACGUGCAUGGAGAAGCCCAUGCAGGACGUACGAAACUCUAUGUAACUUAUAAGUACUUAAAUUUUAGGAUCAAAAUCCGCCACCAAUUCCUCCACCAGCUCCACCGCCUCCGCCGAACCCACCACCAGAACCUCCACCAGCCCCGCCACCUAAUCCUCCUCCAAUUCCUCCACCUUUACCACCUCCAAAUCCACCACCAGCACCUCCUCCAGCUCCACCGCCAAGUCCUCCACCAGCACCGCCACCAAAUCCUCCUCCUACACCUCCACCUUUACCACCUCCGAAGCCACCACCUGCACCGCCUCCAGCACCACCUCCACCACCAAGUCCUCCUCCCACACCUCCACCUUUGCCGCCUCCAAAACCGCCACCAGCACCACCUCCAGCACCACCUCCACCGGCACCACCACCGAAUCCUCCUCCUCCACCUUUUCCGCCUCCAAAACCACCACCAGCGCCACCUCCAGCUCCACCUCCACCGGCACCACCACCGAAUCCUCCUCCUCCACCUUUGCCGCCUCCAAAUCCACCACCAGCUCCACCACCAGCUCCACCUCCAGCUCCACCUCCACCUCCGAGUCCUCCUCCUAUACCUCCACCUUUACCACCUCCGAAGCCGCCACCAGCUCCACCUCCGCCACCAAGUCCUCCACCGGCACCACCACCUAAUCCUCCUCCGCGCCUCCACCUUUGCCGCCUCCGAAGCCACC